rnacentral:misc_RNA from 1 species
GGUGGGAACAAACCUCAUUCACUAACCCACCAAUACUAAAACACACAACAUAGACCUACAUUCAUUAUUCAGAACAUUCAAAGAAUCACCUCUUUCUCAAUCAAAAACCAUAUUCUUCAGACAUCGUAGCAAAGGGCUCACUUGGCGCUGGCGAGCUCAGUGCGGAGCUUCUUGGCGGCCUCAACCAUGGCAGUGAGUGCAGGCUUGACCUCACCAUAUUUGCGGGUCUUGAGCCCACAGUCAGGGUUAACCCAGAGGAUG